AUGGAUAGCAAGCCUUCUCCAACACCUUAUGAUCCCAGCGUGACACUCAGAAAGAACAAGAAGGAAACGAGAGAUCAAUUAAGAUACUCUCAAAUUGUCGGUUCACUCAUGUACCUAGCUAGCGCUACAAGACCAGAUAUCUCUUUUGCUGUGAGCAAACUGAGUAGGUUCAUGUCCAACCCGGGUGAUGAUCAUUGGCAUGCACUAGAAAGGGUCUUGCGCUAUCUGAGAGGUACUAUGAGUUACGGAAUUACUUAUUCAGGGCAUCCUGCUGUGCUAGAAGGAUAUAGUGAUUCAAAUUGGAUCUCCGAUGUUGAUGUACUUUACGCAACAAGUGGGUAUGUAUUUACUCAUGGUGGUGGCGCAGUGUCAUGGAGGUCUUGCAAGCAAACCAUAUUGACGAGGUCAACUAUGGAAGCAGAAUUAACUGCUUUGGACACUGCUACUGUUGAGGCAGAAUGGCUGCGUGAGCUCUUGAUGGACUUGCCAGUUGUUGAAAAACCUGUACCGGCUAUUCUUAUGAAUUGUGAUAACCAAACACGUGAAGAGACGUUUGAAGUCUGUCAGGAAGUUGAGAAACUCCGGAGUAAUAACUGUUACGUAUAUACAAACAGACAAAAACCUGGCAGAUCCCUUUACAAAGGGACUAUCACGAAAUGUGAUAGAUAUUGCAUCGAGGGAGAUGGGUAUGAGACCCAUAGAUGUUACACCAUAGUAGUAACCCAACCUUUGUGA
rnacentral:rRNA from 1 species